CAGUAUUUGAAACAAAUGGCUGGGUCCUGA
rnacentral:piRNA from 1 species